rnacentral:rRNA from 1 species
GCUGUUUCAUUUAAAAAUUAAUUAGAAUUUUAUUUUUUAGUUAAAAAGCUAAAAUAUAUUCAAAAGACGAGAAGACCCUAUAAAUCUUGAUUAUUUAAUAAUUUUUAGUUUAUUUUGAUUUUUUUUGUUAUAAAUUUAUUAAUUAAUUUUAUUGGGGUGAUAUUAAAAUUUAAAUAACUUUUAAUAAUUUUUAUCAUUUAUUUAUGAUUAAGUGAUCCAUUAUUAGUGAUUAAAAAAUUAAGUUACUUUAGGGAUAACAGCGUAAUUUUUUUGGAGAGUUCUUAUCGAUAAAAAAGUUUGCGACCUCGAUGUUGGAUUAAGAUUCAUAUUUAAAUGUAGAAGUUUAAAUAUAAAGUCUGUUCGACUUUUUAUUCUUACAUGAUCUGAGUUCAAACCGGUGUAAGCCAGGUUGGUUUCUAUCUUUGAUUUAGUAAAAUAUUUUAGUACGAAAGGAAUUAAUAUUUAUUUUUUAAAAAUUAAUUUAUGAAUAAAUUUAAUUACUAU